AGACCGCCACGGUGACUUGCAAGCAACUCACUGCACUUAGGCAUUGGACUAUCUGAAUUUCUAAUUCAAUGACGGAAGGCUGCUGGGUGUAGUCAAGUACUUGACUUGUCGGUGCGUAUGUCAAGAUGGGAUUGACCACUCUAGUUUAGGAGCUGUGUAUAGUCAUGUUUCAAUUUAGCAAAACCUUGGCCAGGGUAGACCUUGUGAGGAGUCACAGGACUGUUUGAGUUGAGCACGAUUCGGAUGAUCUGAUCGGGGUUGAGAGUUUAACCCUGAGUCGUCCUAAACACAGGGGUCAAAAGGAUGAAUUAUAUAGUAACCAUAUUCAUAUAGGUUCUGAGUGUUGCGAUUGCGACUCUUCGAUCUAUCCGGACGUCGGGUACCAUUGCUAGAUGGUC
rnacentral:lncRNA from 1 species